rnacentral:rRNA from 1 species
UACAGAGGUCCCAAGCGUUGUUCGGAUUCAUUGGGCGUAAAGGGUGCGUAGGCGGCGCGGUAAGUCGGGUGUGAAAUCUCGGGGCUUAACUCCGAAACUGCAUUCGAUACUGCCGUGCUUGAGGACUGGAGAGGAGACUGGAAUUCAUGGUGUAGCAGUGAAAUGCGUAGAGAUCAUGAGGAAGACCAGUGGCGAAGGCGGGUCUCUGGACAGUUCCUGACGCUGAGGCACGAAGGUCAGGGGAGCAAACGGG